rnacentral:tRNA from 1 species
GCCAACCUAGCUCAGUUGGUAGAGCAACGCACUCGUAACGCGUAGGUCGAGGGUUCGAGCCCCUUGGUUGGCU